ACAACCUUAAAAUUGUGGAAGGGAGAGAAAGAAGGAGAAGUAAGAGGAGGAGCAUUUAGCUACUCCCCCUUGGUUGCCAACUCUUACCCAGAUGAUGAAGCAAGUACGGUCUACCUUUGAGCAGCGACACUUCCUACUCUAUGGUGAGUAUGGUGGAGACUGGUGGAAUCCAGAGGCUGAGGAGCACAAUGUGGAUUGUGCUAGCGAUGACUGUGCUUAUAGUGCGUAUAAUCCAGAAUAUGUGUUGUCCAUUGUCAUUGCCUUGUUUUUAGAUGUUAUGCUCUUUUGAUACAGUAUUGUAUGUGUCAGUCAUAUAAUUAAUGGAGGAUAAACUUGUUAGUUUACAA